CCAGUAAUUGGAACACGAUGGUGUGAUUCAGUAGUAGAAUAUUGGAUAGCACAUGGGCCACGUCCAGAUUGAAAAUAGACGCCAGCCAAAUGCUUCUAAGAGCGACACGAGUACAAAACAUGCCAGCGAUGCUGCACGAGGAGUGAUCAGGAACCAGAUAAACACGGUGUUGCGUUGGAGCCUGGAGAUGCGGAGUCAACUGCUCUUCGACUAGCAAAGGCACAGCUCACGGAUCUCAUGAUCUGGGUCUACACGCCCGUGCAGAUGAGUUUGCCACCAAAAAUCAAGACAUGAUAGCCUUGUAG
rnacentral:lncRNA from 1 species